GGAGAGGUGGCAGAGUGGUUGAAUGUGACGGUCUCGAAAACCGUUGUGCGCGCAAGUGUACCGUGGGUUCGAAUCCCACCCUCUCCG
rnacentral:tRNA from 2 species